UCCUGGUGGCUCAGAGGGUUAAGUACCUGCUUGCAAUGCAGGAUGCCUGGGUUUGAUCCCUGGAUCAGGAA
rnacentral:tRNA from 1 species